GGGGGUAUAGCUCAGUGGUAGAGCACCCGCAUACGUAUCGGAAGGUCGGGCGUUCGACUCCCUCUGCCUCCA
rnacentral:tRNA from 1 species